UUUGUUCAAAAUUUUAAAAUUUAUUUGCAACGUUCUCCAGAUUAAGGAGGAGAUAGUUGAUUUUAUGAGAGCAUGUUACCUGUGGUCUAAGAAACCAAGUUAAAUAGCCGAUCAGAUGUUCUAAAUCGCAUUUGUUUCGACGCCUUACGUAAAGAUUGCGAGCGAAAUAAUGGUGACAGCCUUGCCUUCAUACUGCAUCGAUUUUGACAAGGCCGCAAAGACCGCAGGGAUACUACCAUAGAAUGUUACGGCCUAGCUAUCCGGUAAUGAGGUUUUAAGUAUUGAAUAUAUACCCCCGAUAGUUACAUGUUAUCGAACAUACAAGUAGGUGCGCUGCUAAGUAGUAACCACCUAACAAAUCCAAAUUUUGCUCAGUGAACUCCCCCAGAAAUAAGGGGACUUGUAAUAGCUCGCGGAAUAUUACCAUCGGUAGCGGUGGUAUAAUAUAAAGUAAAGCCAGCCAGGUAUUCAAGGUUUGGUAUCUGAUGGAUUCCAAGAGUUUGAUGUCUGGUUUGUGAUAGAACUGGUCACUCACACAGGAGCCUCUUCAAGUUCGCAGCUGCGUCAAGUAUUGUUAUGAGGCAUUCUCAUUUUUAAAGCAUGUUCUCCAAAUUCCCAAUACAUCGUUAUGGUAAUUACGUUCGUUAACUUUAAUGAAGCUUACAGAAUCAGCUUUCACUGCACUAAUAACGUAAUGGUUAUUAUUUAGUAAUUUAAUGAAGGAAUACAUACUGGACCUCAACAUUUUUACUAAUGAAGCUAACAUUCCGACAUUUAACAACUCUAUUAUCAACUCCAAGGUACAGCUCGACCUUUCUCUCUUUCGUUCGUAAAUUACGCAUCACCAAUAUGGCCGCUGGGAUGUAGCAGGACGCAUUUGA